rnacentral:lncRNA from 1 species
GGACCACAACUCCCAGGAGGCAUCGUGAUGUUGCCCGCGCAGCCUUACUUCCUGCCAGGCCGUUUCCUGGGUAACAGCGGCUCGGCCUGUCUGGGAAGUUUAAGAUAUAUGAAAGCUGAAGGAAUUCAUCACCAGCAGACUCACACUACGAGAAAUAGUGUGGAAAGGUGGAUCUAAGCAAAGAAAGGAAGAACACCAAAGAUGAAAACUACAUAGGAAAACCUUACCUACAAAUCAAGCAUCAGAUCCCAUUUGGCCCAUGGGCCAUUGUUUCCUAACCCUUGAUCUAUGUAGAAGAUCGUUUGGAAUCUACAAAAAAUUUCUAAAACUACUGAGGUUACAAAUGUUACAGGACGCAAGACCAAUAUACAAAAAAUUUUGGUUUUAUAUAAUAACAAUGAAUAAUCAGGGUGCUACAGCAUGUCCAUAUGGGGAUGAGAAGAGAGGACAAAUGGAGGCAUAAGGAAGUGGAACUGGCUCCUUGAGUGGGCUUGUGUGUCCUGUGCUCAAGGGAGACAUGGCCCUGGGAGAAGAGCAUAGCUCCUCCGGAACAGACAAAGACGGAUAGGACUUGCUUAAUAUGCCACAGUGGCUCUUUGUUAGUGAUGAUGAUAAUACUAACAAUUACAGCAAUGAAAAUAGUUGGGAGGCCUUUGUAUUCAUUCAUAAAAUGAGUCACACAAAUUCAGCAGUCCUUGAUUUUCUUUGAUGAAGUUUCCAACCAGCACAUUGAAGAGUACCUUACAGGUACAGAAUUUUUGAGGUCUCCAGCGAAGAAAGAGUAAUGACCUCAACCCCAACUUUCCCUGGAAGCAAGGUCCAGUUGGUCUAAAUUGGAGGAAUCCUUUGAUAAGGAUGAUGGAAAAUCCUCUACCUGUUUAUUCACUGUAAAGUCGUAUUGCCAUUCAAAGUUUGCAGUACUAGUAGUAUUUUCAUGAACAAAAACCUCUGUCCCCUUCUCUCUGUUCCCUUGUCAGUCCCACUACCAUGAGUCCCAUCACUGUUACUCAUGCAAGAAAAAAAUAGCAGUAACUUCCGUUUAUGAAGUGGUAGUAGGCGCUGUCCCUCAAAUCUUUCACAAUAGCCCUAUGCAGUAGAUAGUAUCAGCUCCUGUUAAUCGUGGAAAAUGAGGCUUAUAGAGCUUAGGUCAGGGUCUGAAGUCACAUCUCAGAAGUAUCAGAGCCAGAAUUAAAAUCCAAGUCUGUGUGACUCCAAAGUCUUUGCUUUUUUUUUUUUUUNNNNNNNNNNNNNNNNNNNNAACAGAGGGAGAGGGAGAAGCAGACUCCCUGCUGAGCAAGGAGCCCGAUGUGGGACUCAAUCCCAGGAUGCUGGGAUCAUGACUUGAGCCGAAAGCAGCUGCUUAAUCAACUGAGCCACCCAAGCAUCCCAAGUCUUUGCUCUUGAUGAGAAUUUCAUGUCAUGCCACCUGCCCUUCUGAAUGAAAAGUUUCACUGGUGUAGAUAUAUGCAUGUUUCCCUCCAAUUCUCAUUUAUUGCAAGGACCACAUUUUGACAUAAUAAAGGAACUCAGAAGGAUAAAAAUAAUUCAGGGUUCCAACACCCUGUUGUAGCAACUGUUUCAUUUUUAUCCAUUUCCUUUUGAUCUUUAUCCAUAUGUACAUGUUUUACGUAGUUGUAGAUAUAAUUUUGUAUUCUGCCGCUAUGGUUAAUAUGAUACCAGGCAUUUUCCUUCCUGCUAUUUGGUUUUUAAUGGACGCGUAAUACUCCAUUUUCUUAAAGUGCCAUGAUUUCAUUAACCAUUCCCCACAAUGGACCAAGUUCUUUCCAUGUUUUGAGUUGUAGAAACUCUACUGUAGCAAACAAUUUGAUUUCUGCCCCCUCCUCCCAUCUUUUCUAAUUUUUUUAAGAGAACCAGUUCCUAGGAGUGACAUUACAAAACAAGAAUUUGAACACGUUUAUGGCUUUGAUACUUUAAAAACGAGUCAAAUUAAUAAAGUUUGUACCUCUGAUGAUAGUAAACAGAUAGUCUAAUCCACAAUAAUAGAUUAAUUACAUUAAUUAUUGUUUAGGGGAACCAAAUUAAUGACAAAUGUAGAGUAAUUGCUUGUGAGUACAGGGUUUCUUUUCGGGGUGGUGAAAUGUUCUGGAAGUAGGUGGUGGUGAUGGUUGUAUAGCUUUGUGACAAUACUAGAAACACUGAAUUGUGUUUAUACUUGAAAAAGGUCAAUGGUAUGUUAUGUGAAUUAUAUCUCAAUAAAGCCACUAUAAAGAAUUAAAAACAAAGUUUCUGAUAUUCCAAGUAAUGGUUUCAACCAUUGCUAUCAAUGUU